CCGAGGCGAAGGAAUAAGUCACACAAGUCACCAACGAGUCACGAAUAAGUCACAUAGCCCUCCCUGCUGCAUUGUUCUCGGAUUAUGCCAGCCCCGGCCACACCUUUUUAAGUCACUCGAGUCACUCGCGGACCCCCGAAAGGAAUCACAUAAGUCACUCGAGCUGCCGGCCUCUCCCCCCACACUCCCCCUCCCACUUCGGACUUGUACUCUGGCGAGCCGAGCUGAAAUAUUUCUAAGUCCCGACUCAACUUGUCUUUUGGUGGGUCGAGGCAAAAUUUUUACAAGUGUUGACCAAAAUUUUGUACCUUUCAAGUUAAGUUGCCUAGACGUUUUGAGAGAUGGCAAACAACAUAUCAAAAGAUGGUGGAACUUUUUUUUUACCUAUGUGUGAACUAAUUUAGGAGUUAGCCGUUUCGGGCCGUGAGUAACGAACUCCAACGUAGAUUAAGCCUUUUCUUAAUCGAACCAAGAUUUCAGAUUUGGCCACUGAUUUUGUUUUUUGUCUCGAAAAUAAAAGGUUUUCUUGAAGUAUGAAUCCACUCCCUGGGCUCUGUAGCUCAAACGGUUUGGGUCUCAAAAUUUAAGGAAUUUAUUACCUUGAAGUUGCACACUUACAAGUGUUUACCGGUUGAACACUUCAUUUAUCAGCGAAAUCAAAUUCCGACUCGUAACGACUUAGUCCUAAAGUGGGCGCAUCCGUGUCUGUCUGUAGUGGUGACGGCAGGGGCAGUUUGAAUUUGCGCGCCGCCCGAGCCAGGGCGGCGGUAGGUUGAGGUCGGGAAGCGGAAGGCUGUGCGGGCUUCUGCUUGUUUACCCUUUACCGGCACCAUGUGCUCGAAGAGAAGGCACCUUUAAAUCUUCCUGUUUUAGAAGUUUCUAGUCCGAUUCCCAGGGCUUGAAACAUUAAAUAUUGCUUACCGAGGUGAUUUGUGCAUGUAGUAAUGUUAGGAAAGUGUUAGUGACGACAGAACGGUUUGGAUUCAUGUUCAAAUGUGGGACCUAACCUUUCCCUACAAACACAUCUCUAAUUCUACUUUGGUAAAGAAAACCUCAAAUAUUCUGAUGGGUGCAACUUUAAAAUGUGCUGCAAGCAAAAGAAAACAUCAUGAGGAUUUGGAUUUAGUAGGCGACCCAACUUCAUUUCUACAGUAAAGGACGAUGCCCAUCUAAAUUUUACAAGAAAACAUUCCACGAUACAAGCCAAGGACAGGACCGAACUUCAUUUCUACAGUAAAGGACGACGCCCAUCUAAAUUUUACAAGAGAAAGUUCCACGAUACAAGCCAAGGAUAGGAUCAACCACAGCUUGUGUUAUGAAUUGCGGUGAGUGUGAGUGUUACUCAAGUAGCAAAUAAAUCAUAAAUUACUUUUAAGAGGGAAAUCAUGUAUAAGAUGUAAAUAUGUGAGAUUGAAAACUUUCAAACUUUCUACAUUUUGUUUUAAAAAAAAACAACAUUUGACUUUCCUUAUUUUACAAGAUAUAACCAAAUGCAUGUGACAAUUUGUAGCCUUCGUGACACUGAUUCUAAAAAGCUAUUGUCCAGAUUUGUAAGUCAAUUUUUAUCGGGGAAAUCAUGUGCGCAAACUUUUUAACCAAAGACACACAAAUGUCUGUUGUGACAUGCCUUUUCUACCAUAAGGAUGAGUCAUUCUGCCUAAUCGAAUG